GACGAACGCUGGCGGCGUGCUUAACACAUGCAAGUCGAACGAGUGGCGAACGGGUGAGUAACAUAUCGGAACGUACCGAGUAAUGGGGGAUAACUAAUCGAAAGAUUAGCUAAUACCGCAUAUUAUUCGAGCGGCCGAUAUCUGAUUAGCUGGUUGGUGGGGUAAAGGCCUACCAAGGCGAAGAUCAGUAGCGGGUCUGGGAGGAUGAUCCGCCACACUGGGACUGAGACACGGCCCAGACGCCUACGAGAGGCAGCAGUGGGGAAUUUUGGACAAUGGGCGCAAGCCUAAUCCAGCCAUGCCGCGUGUCUGAAGAAGGCCUUCGGGUUGUAAAGGACUUUUGUCAGGGAAGCGGUACCUGAAGAAUAAGCACCGGCUAACUACGUGCCAGCAGCCGCGGUAAUUC
rnacentral:rRNA from 1 species